rnacentral:rRNA from 1 species
ACGCUGGCGGCAGGCUUAACACAUGCAAGUCGAACGGUAACAGGGAUUAGCUUGCUAAUCUGCUGACGAGUGGCGGACGGGUGAGUAAUGCUUGGGAAUCUGGCUUAUGGAGGGGGAUAACUACGGGAAACUGUAGCUAAUACCGCGUAAAAUCUUCGGAUUAAGGGUGGGACUUUCGAGCCACCUGCCAUAAGAUGAGCCCAAGUGGGAUUAGGUAGUUGGUUAGGUAAAGGCUGACCAAGCCGACGAUCUCUAGCUGGUCUGAGAGGAUGACCAGCCACACUGGAACUGAGACACGGUCCAGACUCCUACGGGAGGCAGCAGUGGGGAAUAUUGCACAAUGGGGGGAACCCUGAUGCAGCCAUGCCGCGUGAAUGAAGAAGGCCUUCGGGUUGUAAAGUUCUUUCGGUGACGAGGAAGGUUGAUAGGUUAAUAGCCUAUCAAAUUGACGUUAAUCACAGAAGAAGCACCGGCUAACUCCGUGCCAGCAGCCGCGGUAAUACGGGGGGUGCGAGCGUUAAUCGGAAUAACUGGGCGUAAAGGGCACGCAGGCGGUGACUUAAGUGAGAUGUGAAAGCCCCGAGCUUAACUUGGGAAUUGCAUUUCAUACUGGGUCGCUAGAGUACUUUAGGGAGGGGUAGAAUUCCACGUGUAGCGGUGAAAUGCGUAGAGAUGUGGAGGAAUACCGAAGGCGAAGGCAGCCCCUUGGGAAUGUACUGACGCUCAUGUGCGAAAGCGUGGGGAGCAAACAGGAUUAGAUACCCUGGUAGUCCACGCUGUAAACGAUGUCGAUUUGGGGAUUGGGCUUUGAGCUUGGUGCCCGUAGCUAACGUGAUAAAUCGACCGCCUGGGGAGUACGGCCGCAAGGUUAAAACUCAAAUGAAUUGACGGGGGCCCGCACAAGCGG